rfam:Camelus ferus unplaced genomic scaffold scaffold1232, whole genome shotgun sequence.
GAGAGCAUAGCUCAGUGGUAGAGCACGUGCUUAGCAUGCACGAAGUUCUGGGUUCAACCCCCAGUACCUUCA